rnacentral:rRNA from 1 species
GAUGAACGCUGGCGGCGUGCCUAAUACAUGCAAGUCGAGCGAACAGACGGGGAGCUUGCUCCUCUGACGUUAGCGGCGGACGGGUGAGUAACACGUGGAUAACCUACCUAUAAGACUGGGAUAACUUCGGGAAACCGGAGCUAAUACCGGAUAAUAUAUUGAACCGCAUGGUUCAAUAGUGAAAGACGGUUUUGCUGUCACUUAUAGAUGGAUCCGCGCCGCAUUAGCUAGUUGGUAAGGUAACGGCUUACCAAGGCAACGAUGCGUAGCCGACCUGAGAGGGUGAUCGGCGACACGGGAGCGGGGACACGGUCCAGACUCCUACGGGAGGCAGCAGUAGGGAAUGUUCCGCAAUGGGCGAAAGCAUGACGGAGCAACGCCGCGUGAGUGAUGAAGGUCUUCGGAUCGUAAAACUCUGUUAUUAGGGAAGAACAAAUGUGUAAGUAACUAUGCACGUCUUGACGGUACCUAAUCAGAAAGCCACGGCUAACUACGUG